rnacentral:rRNA from 1 species
GACGUAGGGGGCCAGCGUUGUUCGGAAUUACUGGGUGUAAAGGGUGCGUAGGCGGACAGGUAAGUCAGUGGUGAAAUCUCUGGGCUUAACCCAGAAACUGCCGUUGAUACUAUUUGUCUUGAAUAUCCUGGAGGUAGGCGGAAUAUGUCAUGUAGCGGUGAAAUGCUUAGAUAUGACAUAGAACACCGAUAGCGAAGGCAGCUUACUACAGGAUGAUUGACGCUGAGGCACGAAAGCGUGGGGAGCAAACAGG